GAGGGUAUAGCUUAAUGGUAGAGUGCAGGCCAAGCAUGCACUAGGUUCUGGGUUCAAUCCCCAGCACCUCCA
rnacentral:tRNA from 1 species